AACGAACGCUGGCGGCAUGCCUAACACAUGCAAGUCGAACGAGACCUUCGGGUCUAGUGGCGCACGGGUGCGUAACGCGUGGUAAUUUGCCCUUGGGUUCGGAAUACUAGUUUUAAACGACUGCUAAUACCGGUUGAUGACGUAAGUCCAAAGAUUUAUCGCCGAAGGAUGAGCCCGCGUAGGAUUAGCUAGUUGGUGAGGUAAAGGCUCACUAAGGCGACGAUCCUUAGCUGGUCGGAGAGGAGGAUCAGCCACACUGGGACAGGGACACGGCCCAGACUCCUGCGGGAGGAGGCAGUGGGGAAUAUUGGAGAGGGAGCGAAAGCCUGAACCGGCAAGGCCGCGAGAGUGAUGAAGGCGUUAGGAUUGUAAAGCUCUUUUACCCGGGAUGAUAAGAAGAGAACCGGUAGAAUAAGCUCGGCCUAACUCCGU
rnacentral:rRNA from 1 species